rnacentral:misc_RNA from 1 species
GAUGAAGAACGUAGUGAAAUGCGAUAAGUAAUGUGAAUUGCAGAAUUCAGUGAAUCAUCGAAUCUUUGAACGCACCUUGCGCUCCUUGGUAUUCCGAGGAGCAUGCCUGUUUGAGUGUCGUGUAAUUCUCAAUCCCGUUUGGUUUUGAAUCGAACGUGGAUUGGACUUGGGAGCUUGCUGUGCCUGUUUCUUGGUUCGGCUCUCCUUGAAUGCAUUAGCUCGGUCACGUAGUUGCCCGACGGUUCACGGUGUGAUAGUCAUUCAUCGCCGUUCUGACCGUUUCGGUGCCUGUGUCUGCCGGCUUCUAAUCCGUGUGUUGUCCUUUGUUGGAUGAUGCACUCUUUGACAAUUGACCUCAAAUCAGGUAGGAUUACCCGCUGAACUUAAGCAUAUCAAUAAGCGGAGGA